UACGUAGGGAGCAAGCGUUGUCCGGAAUCAUUGGGCGUAAAGCGCGCGUAGGCGGCCCGAUAAGUCCGCUGUAAAAGUCAACGGCUCAACUGUUGAAAGCCGGUGGAUACUGUCGGGCUAGAGUACGGAAGAGGCAAGUGGAAUUCCAGGUGUAGCGGUGAAAUGCGUAGAUAUCUGGAGGAACACCGGUGGCGAAGGCGGCAUCCUGGACCAACACUGACGCUGAGUGAGCGAAAGCCAGGGGAGCAAACGGG
rnacentral:rRNA from 1 species